rnacentral:misc_RNA from 1 species
GUCCCAUUCAAUUUAAAAAUCAUUCAAUAUAAUUGUGUAUAGAAAAUUUUGGUCCGACUCAUUACUGAAUCAAACUAGUAAACAUAAUUAGAAAGUAACUAUAUGUUCUUUCAAAAUAAACGUACCUGUAGCUAAAGCCCUGGACAAAAGAACUCCCUCAAGCACCACUAAAACUUCUAAAACCCAAAGGAAAAGCAUGUUAUAAAUUUUACAGAUCUUUCCAGGAAUCGAAAUAAUGCUUAGUUAAUAUGUUUAAGAUGCAAAUUCGAUAAGGAAAACAGCUACUAAAUGAUCUUUAUCCUCUCAAAAUACGGCAAGAACGUGCCUGUGCCGUUCUAUGGAGAAGCUAAGUGAAAUCCUGCCGCAAGCAGAGUCUCCAUUAUU